rnacentral:misc_RNA from 1 species
UCGAAACCUGCCUAGCAGAACGACCCGUGAACGCGUUGUAUACAACAUCGGAGGUGGUGUGGGUGCAUCGUUGCCUGUCCCCACCCCCGCGUGUCGGAGCGGCUGGUCUUGUCAUCCCUUUUGCCCAUUGGGUGGGGUGAGAUGUCAGGAUCACCUUCUUCGAUGCAAAACGAACAAACCCCCGGCGCGAAUCGCGCCAAGGAAUCGAAAUGAAAAAAGGGACACAUCUCUUGUCGCCGCACCGUUCGCGGUGUCAGUGCUUCAGUGAUGUUGUUCUUUUGUCGCAAAGUAUAU